GUCGAUUUGUUUCCUGAGAAAAACAAAAAUAAAUGAGUUCAGCAAGCAAAGUUUUUUUUAAAUGGUCACUCAUUACAUUAUCAUGGUUUAACUUGUUCGAAAUCGAGCUUUUUGUUAAAAAUAUCGCUUCAAUUUGAAUUAGAUCAUGUCUUAAAAUGUUUAACCUAAUUCAACCUCAAAUAAAGUGGAAAGGGAAAAAUAAAUCUUUUGUUGGACAAGAUUUCAAACUCGGCAGAAUCGUGUCUAUAUCAUGUAUACCCACGCAAUUAAUGCUCAACCAAGAAGGCAAACCACAAAGCUUAAAUUUAGGAAACAAAAUAAGCUAUUGUUACCAUUGGAAAGCCGGGAUUGCCUUCUUUACACAUAUCAAAUUAAAUCAGGUGAGGCACUUCACAAUCUAUUAGAAAUUUGACGAUUACUAAUGAUUCAAUUUUUAUCACUUUCUGCAGGUCACAUUCUGAGCUAAACUAAUCUUAUCUGUCUAACUCAUCGAAUGAGAGAAUGGAUUAAUAAACUGUUGCAUCACUGAGGAUGAAUUUCGCAGGAAAUUUGUCAUUUACUGUGAAUUCAUGCGAAUGGAUCAAACGGAAAUAACAACAUAAGUAGGAAGAGCAUUAAUCAACCGAUGUUAUGAAAUAAAGCAGAACUAGAUUUGAACUCACUUUCCAAGCUAUUUUAAAUCAACACUGAUGGCAAUAAUUUGUAAUUUGAAUGAUAUGGAAAGAUCAAAAUCAAUUUUAACCAAUCAAAUAUUGUUAAAAACAUGCAAUUUUUUUUAUAAUCUUGUUCAGUUACUAUAUGAUAACAUUGUAUAGAUUUUUAGUUGUGAAUAUAUUGCUCAGAUUUAAUACUUGAAA